AACACUUUUCCACUUUGUAUCAGUCCAUCUUAGAUGAGCCCAGGCCCAGCGAAGCCGGCGGCGUUUCUGGGUGUUGUUGAUAAACGGUUUUCGCCUUGCAUAGGCCAGUCUAGUCUAUGGAAACGGGGUUUGUAGAUGCAUGUUCCACUGUGUAGGCCUGGAAAACCCCUUAUUGGGACUGAUCCAGCUACAGCAGUCUGUGAAUAAUUUCACCUGGGUCUUUGUGUUCUCAGAGCAUUGAAUCAAUCGCAACAGGACUGUUCAGGUUUUCUCAGAAGACAUUUUUGCCUCUCAACUUUGUGCCUUUUGGCUCUGUCUCGCAGUGUGAAAAUAGGAAGUGAUCGAGUGUCGCGAGGAGCACCUGAAUGCAGACAGAUGACAUAGGUGGUUGUGUUGCAGUCGAAGAUCCCUGACAGCAGACAGACUUGUGGAGAAGUCCGCAGGGAGGCUGGUGAGUUGGUUCCAGCUGAGAUCCAACUUCUCCAGAUUUCCUACCUGUGGCUGAAUGUCCCGUAUCUGACUGUGGGCCAACAAUAACACUCCUCAAGCAGCCAGGUGCCGUGUGGGAGACCCCUGGGAACGUGCUCCAGCCCCUGGCCGUUACAGUCCACCAGGUCAGUGUGUUCGUGACAGAGGCACUGACGAGGGCACGGUCGCGAGCACGCCACGGAGGGGAAAAGGUGAGGAGGUG